rnacentral:rRNA from 1 species
AUACGAAGGGGGCAAGCGUUGUUCGGAAUUACUGGGCGUAAAGCGCGCGUAGGCGGGCUGGUUAGUUGGGGGUGAAAUCCCAGGGCUUAACCCUGGAACUGCCUCCAAUACUGCCAGUCUAGAGUUCGAGAGAGGUGAGUGGAAUUCCUAGUGUAGAGGUGAAAGUCGUAGAUAUUAGGAAGAACACCAGUGGCGAAGGCGGCUCACUGGCUCGAUACUGACGCUGAGGUGCGAAAGCGUGGGGAGCAAACAGGAGUAGAAACCCUAGUAGUCC